GUGCCUGGCUCCUGGCUCUCCAUGCCUGGACGACGCGACCAUAGCAAACGCCUUACGAAUGAAUCGGAUACUCGUGAACAGACAGUAAGUGCUUCGAGAGACGCUGUGCGCACACUUCUCGCUGCCGAAAGCCGUCUCGUCCAGGAUGCAUUGAAGCGGACACACACAGCCUGCAGCGAAGAACAACGCGACGGACAUUGCUCUACUCCACUUGGCAUCCUCUUAGACCCCCUCGUGAGCCUUGGCCGACGCCUGGCAAUGCUGGUUGGCUGCACUCGUAUCUGACGAGCCCGGCGACGUCUUGCUGCAGCGGUAGCCUU
rnacentral:lncRNA from 1 species